rnacentral:rRNA from 1 species
AUUUUGUUUCUUCCUUGAUCGCGUCUAUCAUGCAGUCGAGCGGACAGAAGGGAGCUUGCUCCCGGAUGUUAGCGGCGGACGGGGAGGCCGUGGGUAACCUGCCUGUAAGACUGGGAUAACUCUGGGUAAACCGGAGCUAAUACCGGAUAGUUCCUUGAACCGCAUGGUUCAAGGAUGAAAGACGGUUUCGGCUGUCACUUACAGAUGGACCCGCGGCGCAUUAGCUAGUUGGUGAGGUAACGGCUCACCAAGGCGACGAUGCGUAGCCGACCUGAGAGGGUGAUCGGCCACACUGGGACUGAGACACGGCCCAGACUCCUACGGGAGGCAGCAGUAGGGAAUCUUCCGCAAUGGACGAAAGUCUGACGGAGCAACGCCGCGUGAGUGAUGAAGGUUUUCGGAUCGUAAAGCUCUGUUGUUAGGGAAGAACAAGUGCAAGAGUAACUGCUUGCACCUUGACGGUACCUAACCAGAAAGCCUCGGCUAACUACGUGCCAGCAGCCGCGGUAAUACGUAGGUGGCAAGCGUUGUCCGGAAUUAUUGGGCGUAAAGGGCUCGCAGGCGGUUUCUUAAGUCUGAUGUGAAAGCCCCCGGCUCAACCGGGGAGGGUCAUUGGAAACUGGGAAACUUGAGUGCAGAAGAGGAGAGUGGAAUUCCACGUGUAGCGGUGAAAUGCGUAGAGAUGUGGAGGAACACCAGUGGCGAAGGCGACUCUCUGGUCUGUAACUGACGCUGAGGAGCGAAAGCGUGGGGAGCGAACAGGAUUAGAUACCCUGGUAGUCCACGCCGUAAACGAUGAGUGCUAAGUGUUAAGGGGGUUUUCCGCCCCCUUUAGUGCUGCAGCUAAACGCAUUAAAGCAACUCCCGCCCUGGGGGAGGUACGGUCGCAAGGACUUGAAUACUUCAAAAGGGAAUUUGGACGGGGGACCCCGCACAAGCCGGUGGAGCAAUGUUGGUUUAAUUCGUAAGCAUCGCGGAGAACCCAUUACUCAGGUCCUUGAUCAUCGUCUGGACAAACUCUUAGAGAAUAGGACAUUUUCCUUUUCGGGGGACAAGAGGUGAACCAAAGCAUGGGUGGUA